rnacentral:rRNA from 1 species
AGUGGCGCACGGGUGCGUAACGCGUGGGGAUCUGCCCUUUGCUUCGGAAUAACAGUUAGAAAUGACUGCUAAUACCGGAUGAUGUCGAAAGACCAAAGAUUUAUCGGCAAAGGAUGAACCCGCGUAGGAUUAGCUAGUUGGUGGGGUAAGGGCCUACCAAGGCGACGAUCCUUAGCUGGUCUGAGAGGAUGAUCAGCCACACUGGGACUGAGACACGGCCCAGACUCCUACGGGAGGCAGCAGUGGGGAAUAUUGGACAAUGGGCGAAAGCCUGAUCCAGCAAUGCCGCGUGAGUGAUGAAGGCCUUAGGGUUGUAAAGCUCUUUUACCAGGGAUGAUAAUGACAGUACCUGGAGAAUAAGCUCCGGCUAACUCCGUGCCAGCAGCCGCGGUAAUACGGAGGGAGCUAGCGUUGUUCGGAAUUACUGGGCGUAAAGCGCACGUAGGCGGCGACUCAAGUCAGAGGUGAAAGCCCGGGGCUCAACCCCGGAACUGCCUUUGAAACUAGGUUGCUAGAAUCUUGGAGAGGUCAGUGGAAUUCCGAGUGUAGAGGUGAAAUUCGUAGAUAUUCGGAAGAACACCAGUGGCGAAGGCGACUGACUGGACAAGUAUUGACGCUGAGGUGCGAAAGCGUGGGGAGCAAACAGGGUUAGAUACCCUGGUAGUCCACGCCGUAAACGAUGAUAACUAGCUGUCCGGGC